GCCAGGUACAGUGGUGCAUGCCUGUAACCCUAGCCACUCAGGAGGCUGAGACAGGAGGAUUGCCAAGGUUGAAGCCAACCUCAACAACUUAGCAAAACCUGUCUUAA
rnacentral:sRNA from 1 species